UACGAAGGGGGCUAGCGUUGCUCGGAAUCACUGGGCGUAAAGCGCACGUAGGCGGCUCUCUAAGUCAGGGGUGAAAUCCUGGAGCUCAACUCCAGAACUGCCUUUGAUACUGGGGAGCUUGGAGUCCGGGAGAGGUGAGUGGAACUGCGAGUGUAGAGGUGAAAUUCGUAGAUAUUCGCAAGAACACCAGUGGCGAAGGCGGCUCACUGGCCCGGUACUGACGCUGAGGUGCGAAAGCGUGGGGAGCGAACAGG
rnacentral:rRNA from 1 species